rnacentral:rRNA from 1 species
CAGCAGUCGCCACGGGAAUACGGAGGGGGCUAGCGUUGUUCGGAAUUACUGGGCGUAAAGCGCACGUAGGCGGCUUGGUAAGUUAGAGGUGAAAGCCCGGAGCUCAACUCCGGAAUUGCCUUUAAGGCUGCCGAGCUAGUAGGUGAGAGAGGUAAGUGGAAUUCCGAGUGUAGAGGUGAAAUUCGUAGAGAUCGGGAGGAACAUCAGUGGCGAAGGCGGCCAUCUGGGACAACACUGACGCUGAGGCACGAAAGCGUGGGGAGCAAACAGGAUUAGAUACCCCGGUAGUCCCUGUCUCUUAUAC